rnacentral:rRNA from 1 species
UGAGGAAUAUUGGUCAAUGGGCGAGAGCCUGAACCAGCCAAGUAGCGUGCAGGACGACGGCCCUAUGGGUUGUAAACUUCUUUUAUGUGGGGAUAAAGUGCGUGACGUGUCAUGCAUUGCAGGUACCACAUGAAUAAGGACCGGCUAAUUCCGUGCCAGCAGCCGCGGUAAUACGGAAGGUCCGGGCGUUAUCCGGAGUUAUUGGGUUUAAAGGGAGCGUAGGCUGUCUAUUAAGCGUGUUGUGAAAUAUACCGGCUCAACCGGUGGCUUGCAGCGCGAACUGGUCGACUUGAGUAUGCAGGAAGUAGGCGGAAUUCAUGGUGUAGCGGUGAAAUGCUUAGAUAUCAUGAAGAACUCCGAUUGCGAAGGCAGCUUACGGGAGUGUUACUGACGCUUAAGCUCGAAGGUGCGGGUAGCGAACAGG